GCCAGCGGGAGCGUUGGCAGGCCUGGGGUCAGAUCCUGAAUCAGCCAGUUAGUUGGUAGGAGUGGGGCCCAUUUGUAGAAUGAAGGUGAUACCUGCCUCGUGGGGUUAUUGGCAUUAAAUGAAGAAUGUAGGGAACCUAGCACGGUUCUUGAUGUCUAGGAGCUGACACACUCAGAAUGACAAAGGAGUUAGAAAUUCACAUCAACAUAAAUUGGUCCCGACUGACUCAAACCAUGAGAAUUCUGCUCUGCUGAGAUACCUUAGCCGAAGUCUUGCCUUGUAGCCCAGGCUGGAGUACAGUG